UGUAGCAAUACCACCUUGGACUACGAUCCUGUCAGAUCAUAUGCAGGGUUAGGCUUGGUCAGUAUUUGAACGUGAGACCGCUGAGGAAAGGCCAGGUGUGGCAAAAA
rnacentral:rRNA from 1 species